GGCCUUAACCCAUGCAAGUCGAACGGGCGAGGCACGUUAACAUCUUGUCUCUGUUGCGUGAUGCGCGCAGUGGCGGUACAGUAUGACUAAUGUCUGGGAAACUGCCCGAUGGACGGGGAUAACUACUGAAUGCGGUAACUAAUACCGCCCAACGUCACAAGACCAGAGUGCGGGACACUCUGGCCUCACUCCUUCGGAUGUGCCCAAAUGGCAUUAUCUAGUAGGUGGGGUAAUGGCUCGCCUAGACCACUAUCCCUAGCUGGUCUGAGAUGAUGACCACCCACACUGGAACUGAGACACGAUCCAUACUCCUACGGGAGGCGGCAGAUGGGUAAUAUUGGACAAUGGGCGCGAUCCUGAUGCGCCCAUGCCGCGUGUAUGAAGAAGGCCUUCGGGUUGUAUUGUACUUUCAACGAGGAGGAAGGCGGUGAGGUUAAUAACCUUGGCAAUUGACGUUACUCAGCAGAAGAAGCACCGGCUAACUCCGUGCCAGCAGCCGCGGUAAUACGGAGGGUGCAAGCGUUAAUCGGAAUUACUGGGCGUAAAGCGCACGCAGGCGGUCUGUUAAGAUCAGAUGUGAAAUCCCCGAGCUUAACCAGGUGAACUGCAUUUGAAACUGGCUAGGCUUGAGUCUCAGAAGAGGGANGGUAGAAUUCCAGGUGUAGCGGUGAAAUGCAUAGAUGAUCUGAAGGAAUACCGGUGGCGAAAGGCNGUCCGCCCUGAACGAAGACUGACACUCACGAGCGAAAGCGUAGGGAACAAACAGGAUUACAUAGCCCUGGGUAAUCCACGCCAUAAAACGAUGUCAGACUUGUGAGGUUGUGCGCAUUGNAGGACGUGGCCUUCCGCNAAACUCAAAGCGUUAAGAUCGACCUGCCUGGGGAGUACGGCCGCAAGGUUAAAACUCAAAUGAAUUGACGGGGGCCCGCACAAGCGGUGGAGCAUGUGGUUUAAUUCGAUGCAACGCGAAGAACCUUACCUGGCCUUGACAUCCAGAGAACUUAGCAGAGAUGGUUUGGUGCCUUCGGGAAUUUUGAGACAGGUGCUGCAUGGCUGUCGUCAGCUCGUGUUGUGAAAUGUUGGGUUAAGUCCCGCAACGAGCGCAACCCUUAUCCUUUGUUGCCAGCGGUUCGGCCGGGAACUCAAAGGAGACUGCCGGUGAUAAACCGGAGGAAGGUGGGGAUGACGUCAAGUCAUCAUGGCCCUUACGGCCAGGGCUACACACGUGCUACAAUGGCGCAUACAAAGAGAAGCGACCUCGCGAGAGCAAGCGGACCUCAUAAAGUGCGUCGUAGUCCGGAUUGGAGUCUGCAACUCGACUCCAUGAAGUCGGAAUCGCUAGUAAUCGUAGAUCAGAAUGCUACGGUGAAUACGUUCCCGGGCCUUGUACACACCGCCCGUCACACCAUGGGAGUGGGUGCCAAAAGAAGUAGGUAGCUUAACGUUCGGGAGGGCGCUUAACCCAC
rnacentral:rRNA from 1 species